CCUACGUGUGGCUGCAGUGGGGAAUAUUGGGCAAUGGGCGCAAGCCUGACCCAGCAACGCCGCGUGAAGGAAGAAGGCUUUCGGGUUGUAAACUUCUUUUGUCAGGGAAGAGUGGAAGACGGUACCUGACGAAUAAGCCACGGCUAACUACGUGCCAGCAGCCGCGGUAAUACGUAGGUGGCAAGCGUUGUCCGGAUGGACGGGGUGGAAAGGGCGUGUAGCCGGGGUGACAAGUCAGAUGUGAAAGCCUGCGGCUUAACCGCAGAACUGCAUUUGAAACUGUUGAUCUUGAGUACUGGAGAGGCAGACGGAAUUCCUAGUGUAGCGGUGAAAUGCGUAGAUAUUAGGAGGAACACCAGAGGCGAAGGCGGGCUGCUGGACAGCAACUGACGGUGAGGCGCGAAAGCGUGGGGAGCAAACAGGAUUAGAUACCCCAGUAGUC
rnacentral:rRNA from 1 species